CAGAUAACUAAGGCACUAAAAAAAAAAAAAGCAGCUUCCUUGGUAGUGCAUGCAGCCUGUUGCUUGUAUGGGUUGCCCUAAAGGACCUUCGAGAUAGCC
rnacentral:snoRNA from 1 species